rnacentral:rRNA from 1 species
CCUACGGGUGGCAGCAGUGAGGAAUAUUGGUCAAUGGGCGCGAGCCUGAACCAGCCAAGUAGCGUGAAGGAUGACGGCCCUACGGGUUGUAAACUUCUUUUAUAAAGGAAUAAAGUGAGGCACGUGUGCCUUUUUGUAUGUACUUUAUGAAUAAGGAUCGGCUAACUCCGUGCCAGCAGCCGCGGUAAUACGGAGGAUCCGAGCGUUAUCCGGAUUUAUUGGGUUUAAAGGGAGCGUAGAUGGGUUGUUAAGUCAGUUGUGAAAGUUCGCGGCUCAACCCUAAAAGUGCAAUUGAGACUGGCAGCCUUGAGAACACUAGAGGUAGGCGGAAUGCGUGGUGUAGCGGUGAAAUGCUUAGAUAUCACGCAGAACUCCGAUUGCGAAGGCAGCUUACUAACCUCCCACUGACAUUGAUGCUCGAAAGUGUGGGUAUCAAACAGGAUUAGAUACCCCUGUAGUC